UACGGAGGGUGCGAGCGUUAAUCGGAAUUACUGGGCGUAAAGGGUGCGUAGGUUGUAAUAUAAGUUGACUGUGAAAGUCCUGGGCUCAACCUAGGGAUGUCAGUUAAGACUGUAUGACUUGAGUAUGGGAGAGGGUAGUGGAAUUUCCGGUGUAGCGGUGAAAUGCGUAGAUAUCGGAAGGAACACCGGUGGCGAAGGCGGCUACCUGGCCUGAUACUGACACUGAAGCACGAAAGCGUGGGGAGCAAACAGGAUUAGAUACCCUGGUAGUCCACGCUGUAAACGAUGUCAACUAGCUGUUGGUCAUAUUAAUAUGAUUAGUAGCGCAGCAAACGCGAUAAGUUGACCGCCUGGGGAGUACGGUCGCAAGAUUAAA
rnacentral:rRNA from 1 species